rnacentral:rRNA from 1 species
GCUGGCGGCGUGCUUAACACAUGCAAGUCGUACGAGAAAUCUUCUGCUUGCAGGGGAGAGUAAAGUGGCGUACGGGUGAGUAAUGCGUGGGUAAUCUACCCUUGAAUUCGGGAUAACAUAUCGAAAGGUGUGCUAAUACCGGAUGAAGUCCAUAGGGCUGCGGUUUUAUGGAUGAAAGGUGGCCUCUACAUGUAAGCUACUGUUUGGGGAUGAGCCUACGUACCAUUAGCUAGUUGGUAGGGUAAAGGCCUACCAAGGCGACGAUGGUUAGCUGGUCUGAGAGGAUGAUCAGCCACACUGGAACUGGAACACGGUCCAGACUCCUACGGGAGGCAGCAGUGAGGAAUUUUGCGCAAUGGGGGCAACCCUGACGCAGCAACGCCGCGUGAGUGAAGAAGGCUUUCGGGUCGUAAAGCUCUGUCGAAGCGGGAAGAAGGUGGGCUAUUUGAACAGGAUAGUCUAUUGACGGUACCGCAGAAGGAAGCACCGGCUAACUCC